AGUUCCAGUAGUUCCUCUCACUUAAUCGCUACUCCAGAGUUUUACAUUCUUCCUUCGGCGCUUUUGCAUUAAUGUGCCGCUUCUCACGUGUCACAGACCAGGGCAAGGGAAGGAAGGAUGGAUACCGCCCCCCUCCCCCGUUUCUGAUUAGGGACGGCACUUGGGAGAGGUCCCUGAAGUAUCCAUUCCUGGAACGAAGUGGGGAGGUGUAAGGCUUUCUUCAAGCAGCAGGCGACAGAGCCAGAGGUGCAGAAGGAAGUCCCUGCAGUUUUCUCUCGAGGUGGAGGUCCCGCUUGUUCGGAGCCGCAGCUGCGCGUUGCUGGCGUCAGUAGAACACCUUGGCUUUUGUAGUGCAAGCCCCGAAUCGGGUUAGGUUUGGGUUCUGAUUAAUCAUUUCUUGUUUUGAGUUUGAGGGGAAACUUCUCUCUCCAAUCCCCCUUGCAAAAAGGCACGGGAGAUUGUUUUUUUUAAAGCCCGAGAAAGGAGGACGGUGUUCUCUCUUUCCCCACGUUUGAAUGCGAAGAGCCUUUCCUUCCUUCUGCAAACUUUCUCGGCCCUCCAGUCUCCGCAAAAGCAGCAAGAGGAUUUGCUUGCCUUGUGCCAUUUGCACCCUGAAGACUCUCCAAGUCUACCACUCAACCAGAUGUUUGAGGGAAUUCCACAAGCUAUGCAAGCUGGAUAUGGCUAUCUCUUGCUGUGUUUUUUUGGCAUUUGGGAGUCAGAAAUAUACUAGUUCUGAACAGAUGUUGCAGCAUCCAGAACACAUUUUGGGCUGAGUGGAAAGAAGAUGAUGUUGGGGGAAAAAAUCUUCCUGGGAUCCCUGCCUCUGUGAGAAAUGAUUGAAGGAAGGACAGAUGAACAAACUCAGUGACUCUUCCUCUUCACAAAAUCAGCAUCGGCACAGUCCCUGCACAACAGUGUCAACACGAUUGCUGUCUCACUACCGUGUCUUUCAUGAGGGUGAAUGGGAAAUAGUAGAACGAUCACUCACCCUCCUGCAGGCCAGUGGUUUUUACUGGGGUCCUUUAUCUGUGCAUGAGGCACAUGCUAGACUGCUUCAAGAGCCAGUGGGCACCUAUCUGUUAAGAGACAGUUCUCAGGGAAAUUGCCUUUUCAGCCUCAGUGUUCGCAUGCCAUCUGGGCCUGUCAGCCUUCGGAUCUCUUUCCAGAAGGGCUACUUUUGGCUGAAGGACUGGUUUUCAGAUUGCGUGGUGAGGCUGCUGGAACUGGUAGUUGCAGGAACAAGGGCCAAACCCCUUCACUGUGAUGAAAUGGGAGAAGUUCCUUUGGUGUUUUCUGAACCCCUCUGCAGGGAGCGCAAGGUUGUACCUAAACUUCAGAAACUCUGCCAGCAGGUCCUCUUUGCUUCCAACAGGACCGGGAACAGGAGUUCUUGGAGUAGUCCACCUGGCUGCCAAAAAGGGAACACCAGCAUGUGUGUGACAGUUAAAAAAUAUGGACAUGUUGAUAAAGACAGUAUGUUAACUGAAUAGGCCUUUGUUUUCAUAGCUGCUGUUUUAAUUAAAUGUCUCUCAGAAAUGUCUUUCACAGGGUAUUGGUAAACAUCCCAUCAUUUCUGGAAUGUCCCUUUUGUGCCUCCUAACUGCAGACAAUCUCCUUGACAGCUCAUUCCAACCUGAAACUGGAUGCAGAGGCUGCAUCCAGAAUAUGUAUUGAUGUUAAACUAAGCAAGAAGCAAAGUAUAGCUCUGUGAGUGUUCCAGCAAAAACAUACGAGUCUGUCCUAAUGAAAUAUUUACCUUUAUUUUAGAGAUGGAUGUUGUGCAGAAUGUUGAGCUCUAGAGAGGCUGCUAGGGAGUGGGAGCAGGCUCCUUCUGGUCAAUUGGAUGUAAGACUUAGGUCAGCAAGUUCCCUUCUGAUCAAUCACCAAGAAGAUUAGUCAUGACCCUUCAAAACUGUGUAAUCUUUCUCUCCAAUAAAUGUAUAAAUAAUAA